UAAAUUAAAUUUGCAAAAUAGAAAGAAAAUAUAUUAUACACAUUUAUACCAGUACCUCACGAAAUAUUGUGAUGGACUUCAGCAUUAGAUUUUUUUUUGCAAGAGAUGAAUUUCAUUGAAUAGGUAUGAGAUAUAGUGAUUGAAUAAGUAUGUUAAGUGUUAAGUGUGAAGUGUACUUCAUUUAAUGAAUCAAAUUUCUAAAAUAGAAGUCAUCAUCAAUAUUAACAUAAACUAAUAUACUGUUCUACACAAAUAAAUACGUACUAAGUAUCCAAUGAUGAUUUCAAUAACAUUGAAAAAAGAAGCUAGCCAUCAUUGAUAUAACGAUUUGAAGUCAGGAACAUAUCUUAUAGUACCGGUACCUCAUGAAAUAUUGUGAUGGACUUCAGCAUGAGAUUUUUUUGGCAAGAGAUGAACUUCAUUGAAUAGGUAUAUAGGUAUGAGAUAUAGUGAUUGAAUAUGUUAAGUGUGAAGCGUACUUCAUUUAAUGAAUAAAUUUCUGAAAUAGAAAUCAUCAU
rnacentral:lncRNA from 1 species